rnacentral:rRNA from 1 species
GCCCCCUUGAUAAUUAUAGGGGGUAAAGCCUGCUCAGUGAUUUUUAAAUAUUAAACAGCCGCUGUACCUUGACCGUGCUAAGGUAGCAUAAUCAAUUGACUUUUAAAUGAAGUCUGGAAUGAAAGGAUCUACGGGAUGAAGCUGUCUCAUAAUCUAUUAUUGUAAAUUUACUAAUUAGGUGCAAAGGCCUAAAAAAGAUAAAAGACGAGAAGACCCUUAGAGUUUAGACUAAAAGUUUUGUUGGGGCGACAAAGAAUCAAUUAAACAUUCUUAAUCGAAAUUUGACGAUAUUUAUUAAGACUAGAUAAACUACCUGAGGGAUAACAGCAUUAUCUAUUUUGGGAUUAUGACCUCGAUGUUGGACUAGGAAGCCUAUUAGCUAGUCGCUAAUAAAGGGGAAUUCUGUUCGAAUUUUUAACUUCC